rnacentral:rRNA from 1 species
ACUACGGGUGGCAGCAGUGGGGAAUAUUGCACAAUGGGGGAAACCCUGAUGCAGCGACGCCGCGUGAAGGAAGAAGUCUUUCGGUAUGUAAACUUCUAUCAGCAGGGAAGAAAAUGACGGUACCUGACUAAGAAGCCCCGGCUAAAUACGUGCCAGCAGCCGCGGUAAUACGUAGGGGGCAAGCGUUAUCCGGAUUUACUGGGUGUAAAGCGUGCGUAGGCGGUUUAGCAAGUCAGAAGUGAAAGCCCGGGGCUCAACCCCGGGACUGCUUUUGAAACUGUUGAACUUGAUUGCAGGAGAGGUAAGUGGAAUUCGUGGUGUAGCGGUGAAAUGCGUAGAUAUUAGGAGGAACACCAGUGGCGAAGGCGGCUUACUGGACUGUAAAUGACGCUGAGGCUCGAAAGCGUGGGGAGCAAACAGGAUUAGAUACCCUAGUAGUC